AUUGAACGCUGGCGGCAGGCCUAACACAUGCAAGUCGAGCGAAUGAGGGUAGCUUGCUACCUGAUUUAGCGGCGGACGGGUGAGUAAUGUAUAGGGAGCUGCCCGAUAGAGGGGGAUACCAGUUGGAAACGACUGUUAAUACCGCAUAAUGUCUACGGACCAAAGUGUGGGACCUUCGGGCCACAUGCUAUCGGAUGCACCUAUAUGGGAUUAGCUAGUUGGUGGGGUAACGGCUCACCAAGGCGACGAUCCCUAGCUGGUUUGAGAGGAUGAUCAGCCACACUGGAACUGAGACACGGUCCAGACUCCUACGGGAGGCAGCAGUGGGGAAUAUUGGACAAUGGGCGCAAGCCUGAUCCAGCCAUGCCGCGUGUGUGAAGAAGGCCUUCGGGUUGUAAAGCACUUUCAGAAGUGAGGAAGGGUGUGUAGUUAAUACCUACAUAUCUUGACGUUAGCUUCAGAAGAAGCACCGGCUAACUCUGUGCCA
rnacentral:rRNA from 1 species